GACGAACGCUGGCGGCGUGCUUAACACAUGCAAGUCGAACGAAGUGGCGAACGGGUGAGUAACGCGUAAUCAACCUGCCCUUCAGAGGGGGACAACAGUUGGAAACGACUGCUAAUACCGCAUACUGAAGGAGGGGAGUGCGUCUGAUUAGCUAGGUGGAGGGGUAACGGCCUACAAAGGCGAUGAUCAGUAGCCGGUCUGAGAGGAUGACCGGCCACAUUGUGACUGAGACACGGCCCAGACUCCUACGGGAGGCAGCAGUGGGGAAUCUUCCGCAAUGGACGAAAGUCUGACGGAGCAACGCCGCGUGAGUGAAGAAGGUUUUCGGAUCGUAAAGCUCUGUUGUUAAGGAAGCGGUACUUAACCAGAAAGCCACGGCUAACUACGUGCCAGCAGCCGCGGUAAUAC
rnacentral:rRNA from 1 species